rnacentral:tRNA from 1 species
GGGGUCGUCUAACGGCAGGAUCUCUGGUUCUCAGCCAGAGGAUGCGAGUUCAACUCUCGCCGGCCCUACCA